UGAUGAUAUCUCGACUGUGUUGAGUAAC
rnacentral:sRNA from 1 species